UAGCAUUUACCACUUCAUGCACCUGUAAUAGUCAACAGUAAAACUUCAUAUCUGACUGAUGGAUUCCAUGUGGACAAGUAGGCAUCUGACCAAAAUAACCACAAAGGCAGUGGUCGCCAUUGAAAGGGCACUUUCUUAGCCUGUACAUGCAGAACAGUGCCCUUCAGUCUUCCAAAUCAAGAGAAGUUUUGAGGUAAAACUAUGU
rnacentral:lncRNA from 1 species